AUUGAACGCUGGCGGCAGGCCUAACAUAUGCAAGUCGAGCGGCAGAAGAGUAAUAGCUUGUGCUUACAGCUGCCGAGGGGCGGGUAGUUCCUAAGUACCUCGGAGUCUGCUGUUUCUAGGGUGAGAACAUGGGCGCUCAUACGCUAUACGCGCUUACGAACUACGGGUGGGAUCUUGGGAUCUUCCGCUAUCACACGAUCCAAUGAGCCGAUGUCGGAUUAGCUAGUUGGCGGGGUAAAGGCCCACCAAGGCGACGAUCCGUAGCUGGUCUGAGAGGAUGAUCAGUCACACUGGAACUGAGACACGGUCCAGACUCCUACGGGAGGCAGCAGUGGGGAAUAUUGGACAAUGGGCGCAAGCCUGAUCCAGCCAUACCGCGUGGGUGAAGAAGGCCUUCGGGUUGUAAAGCCCUUUUGUUGGGAAAGAAAAGCAGUAGGUUAAUACCUUGCUGUUCUGACGUUACCAAAAGAAUAAGCACCGGCUAACUUCGUG
rnacentral:rRNA from 1 species